rnacentral:rRNA from 1 species
UACGAAGGGGGCUAGCGUUGCUCGGAAUUACUGGGCGUAAAGGGAGCGUAGGCGGACAUUUAAGUCAGGGGUGAAAUCCCAGAGCUCAACUCUGGAACUGCCUUUGAUACUGGGUGUCUUGAGUGUGAGAGAGGUAUGUGGAACUCCGAGUGUAGAGGUGAAAUUCGUAGAUAUUCGGAAGAACACCAGUGGCGAAGGCGGCUCACUGGCCCGGUACUGACGCUCAGGUGCGAAAGCGUGGGGGAGCCAAACAGG